ACGUAGGGGGCGAGCGUUGUCCGGAAUUACUGGGCGUAAAGCGCGUGCAGGCGGCCUGGUAAGUCCCGUGUGAAAGCCUACGGCUCAACUGUAGGAGGUCGCGGGAGACUGUCGGGCUCGAGGGCAGGAGAGGGAAGUGGAAUUCCCGGUGUAGCGGUGAAAUGCGUAGAUAUCGGGAGGAACGCCAGUGGCGAAGGCGGCUUCCUGGCCUGCCCCUGACGCUGAGGCGCGAAAGCGUGGGGAGCAAACAGGA
rnacentral:rRNA from 1 species